GUGCUCGCUUCGGCAGCGCGGACACUAAAAUUGGCACGACACAGAGAAGAUUAACGUGGCCCCUGCACAAGGAUGACACACAAAUUUGUGAAGCAUUUCGUAUUAAA
ensembl:snRNA U6 U6 spliceosomal RNA